GAGCAGUCAGUAAAACAUAAGAUUAUCUUUCUGUCUGAGUGAGACUGGAAAACCCGUAGUGGACGAAAUCGGAGUGAUAACAGAAGGCUUAGAGUGCAGAGAGUAAUGUGGUCUGACUCCAGUCCUGGUUUUGCGUCCGUUAGAAGCUCAAGCUCGCAGGCAAGAUCGCUCUAGAUUAGAGGAUAUUUUAACUAAUUUGCGGUAAAACUAGUCGAUCACGAGUGGACUGGCUCAACUGGUCCAGAAUUACCAUAUGCCUUUCAUUUUGAAGCGUCAGAUGACAGUGGCUCACUUCAAGAGCAGGUGAAGCAAUAUGGGAUAAUGUUGAAGACGUUUGCUCACACUGGGCAAUCACGUACAACUUAAGCGUUGGUUGUUGGUUUAAUUCCCAACGGGGCCCAUCUGUACAUGUAGUAGACCUAGAUAUAACUGUCAUAGUUUAGUAGUUGAGGGACCCGGACUGACUACUUUAUUCUUUUAUUCUGGGAAGCCCUGUAGGUGCAGGUCAGACCCCAAUGCUGCGACGUCUUGGAGAGUUUGGUGAUGUUGUGCGUAGCAUGGACAACAAAAUUGACCCUACGCUGCAACAUUUUGAGUGCUAAUGUGUCUGUUGGAGAGUUAUCCCUGCCAGGGGAUCUGUUACUCCCCCUAGACACCCAGGAAGGCAGACAACAGUAUGAGGCAGGAUAAAGAGCUCCAGGAACAAUUUCUUUGGUUUUUUGACAAUCAAAUGUGAGAGGGACCUAAAGACAACCGUGUGUCGAAUGCUUCAGAGUAGCUUCUCUAAUCACCUUUCCAUCAAUAUAACCUGGUCUGGUGUAGGGGAUAAAGCAUGUUUUAGAGACAUGUUCCUGAAGACCAUUGUUCAAAGAGCCAUCCGGAAGAACCCGGCGACCCAGGAUGCCACUGAUGAGGCGAUCCAGGUUAACGUUACACAUCACCUGAAAGGAGCAUCUGACCGUACAGGUGGAAAAAGGCACCGCUCAGCCGACCCCUUAAACCUAGGCUGACUACUGACACCCCAGCAUCACUUGACAACUGAAACCCUUUUUUAUCCUGCAGACAGUAACUUCAAGACAUCUAAAAAAGGCUUGUUACACUGCUUAACUCUUCUAUUUAAAUAUAGCUUGUAAAUCCUAGAUUAUACAUCUAAUACUUGAUUUCUGCACAUUAUCUGGUAUCAAAUAUUCGACUUGCCGUGACUUUAGUAUUGGCUUAUUUCAUUCGUCAGUGCUUAACGAUUCUACAUGCUCUAUGAACCCUGCUGACGUAUGUCCGAAAGAAUCUCAGCCAGCUUCUUUACUUCCACAAGCGCAUUCUGCAGGCAAAGUAUACAGCGGCAUAACUUUAAUAAAAUUCAUUUUCCUUCACUUUUCACUUCCUCACAGUGUUAUUGACACUCACGUUAACCGCAAGAAUUUUUUGUAAACAGUGAGUGUAACUUGCCACUAUCUCCACCUAAUGCAAAACCGGCUUCUGACGCCGCACCGGAUGUAACUGGGCGUCCUGAGACAAACCCGGAAGCGAUCGUGCAUAGAGCCUAUUAUAGUUUGCAAAUCCUGUUUCAUGCCUGAUAUUUGAUUUUGCACAUUAACUAGUACCAAAAAUUCUACUUUCAUCCUAUCAGUGUGCUUAACUGUUAUUCUAUUAAAAAUAGCUUGGAAAACUAUUUCAUACCUCUAAUACUUGGUACAUUACCUGGUACCAAAUAUUCUACUUUAUUCUGUCACAGUGCUUAACUGUUAUUCUAUUGUUAAAUAUAGCUUGUAAGUCCUUGUGCCACAGGUCAGCAUUGCAGUUAUAAUGGUAUAUUCUCAAAUUAUUUAGUGUCCUUCACUUUCUUUGGUACCAAAUAUCCUCAUUACUUGUGUUUCCUGGUAAUUAUUUUCAUCCCAGAGCUGACCUCUUUAUGUUAUUAGCAAGUAUUGUAAGUGUUAUACAGUGUUCUAUAUAUAUAAAUAGUGUUUUUAACCAAAAAUGUAUUGGAAAGCUGCGUGUUUGUAUUUUUCUGUUAUAUUUCAGUGAUCUGACAUGUUGUUUAAUGACAGUUACUGUACUUUCAAAUGUGGAAAUAAAAUGUAAAUUGGAAA